rnacentral:tRNA from 1 species
GGUCGCUUAGCUCAGCUGGUUAGAGCGUGGUGCUAAUAUCUACUCCGUAACAAGAGUUGUUUCCAAACGCCAAGGUCGUGAGUUCGAUCCUCAUAGUGAUCA